UUAUCAAAAACAUGUCUCUUUGAGAUUUUUUAAUAAAGAGUUGGGCCUGCUCGGUGAUUAAUAUUUAACAGCUGCGGUAUUAUAACUGUACUAAGGUAGCAUAAUAAUUUGCUCUAUAAAUUGGGGCUAGAAUGAAUGGUUUGACGAAAAUUUGACUGUCUCUAUUUUAUUUAUUAGAAAUUAAUUUUUGUAGUGAGAAAGCUUAAAUUGUUUAAAGGGACGAAAAGACCCUAUUGAGCUUAUAUUAUUUUAUAAAUUAUAUGAUUGUUGUUUAUUUAGAAUAAUUUUGAUUGGGGUGAUCAAGGAAUAAGAUUGUUUAAAUUAACUUCCUUAAUUAAUUUGUUUUGUGGAAAAAUAAACCAAAUUUUUUGCUUAGAAGAUAAGUUACCAUAGGGAUAACAGCGUAAUUUUUUUUGAGAGUUCAUAUUGAAAAAAGAGAUUGCGACCUCGAUGUUGGAUUAAAAUUAACCUUAAGGUGAAGAGGCUUUAUUAGG
rnacentral:rRNA from 1 species